UAUGGGUGUGCCAGCAGCCGCGGUAAUACGGAGGAUCCGAGCGUUAUCCGGAUUUAUUGGGUUUAAAGGGAGCGUAGGCCGGAGAUUAAGCGUGUUGUGAAAUGUAGACGCUCAACGUCUGCACUGCAGCGCGAACUGGUUUCCUUGAGUACGCACAAAGUGGGCGGAAUUCGUGGUGUAGCGGUGAAAUGCUUAGAUAUCACGAAGAACUCCGAUUGCGAAGGCAGCUCACUGGAGCGCAACUGACGCUGAAGCUCGAAAGUGCGGGUAUCGAACAGG
rnacentral:rRNA from 1 species